GAGGAGGUGAGCACGUUCCUGGCUUAAGAAAACCUCCGGGCUCUGGUAGCCAACGACUCGGCGGGGCGGCAGGGCGGCCGGGCGGCCCGGCGGCCAGGCGGAAGAGUAAGCCUCCGUCCGCUCCGCUCCGCCCAGUCCCGGCCGAGUAGCCCCGCCCCUUCGCCGCCCCGCUUCUCCCGCCGCACCGGGCAAUCCCGGUUGUUGGUGCCCCGCGGUCGGCGCCGGGAGCGGGAAGCAUGCGCGGCGACUGGGAACUGGGCGCCGCGGCUGGAGGCCCGCUGCUGCUGUGCGCCGCGCUGCUGGCCGUGGGCUGCGCACUGGGUCUGCGCCUGGGCCGCGGGCUGGGGGCUGCGGACCGCGGGGCGCUAGCCUGGCUCUGCUUCGACGCCCUGGUGCACUUCGCGCUGGAAGGCCCUUUUGUCUACUUGUCUUUGGUAGGAAACAUCACAGAUUCUGAUGCCUUGAUCGCUUCAUUGUGGAAAGAAUAUGGCAAAGCUGACGCAAGAUGGCUUUAUUUGGAUCCAACCAUUGUGUCUUUGGAAAUUCUGACUGUCGUCCUGGGAGGGUUUCUGGCAUUGGUUCUCAUUUAUGCCGUCGUCAAAGGGAAACAUUAUCGGUGCUGUAUAGACAAGCACAGUGGUGACAGCAUUGGAUGAUUUGCCACCAAUAUUUUGGAGAAUCAAAAGGAGGAAGAUUUAAGAUACCUUACAAAAAUACGAUAAAAAGUAAAUCAGGGGGGCUUCCCUGAUGGCGCAGUGGUUGAGAGUCCACCUGGUGAUGCAGGGGAUAUGGGUUCGUGCCCCGGUCUGGGAAGAUCCCACAUGCCGCAGAACGGCUGGGCCCGUGAGCCAUGGCCGCUGAGCCUGCACGUCCAGAGCCUGUGCUCCACAACGGGAGAGACCACAACGGUGAGAGGCCCGCGUACCGGAAAAAAAAAAAAAAAAGAAGUAAAUCAGGAAAUAGGAACAUAGGGAAAAUGAGUGAGAAACAAUAAGAUGAAGGUAAAAUUAAUAUGCAGAAUGCAUGCCGUGACGUCGUAUGUAACUGAUAGAAGUGAAGCAUAAAUGUAACACUUACCUUCAGUACCAAGAGGGAGACGUGAUCACCCUAUGUUUCAGAAAACACUCGUUUUGGCAGAUGGCUAUAGCACUUCCGUCAGAGGUGGGGAGCGGGUACUCACAUUAACUUGUUCAACACCUGGCUUUCUUACUAGCCUGUUAGCUCACAGAUGUGUUCUCCGCCUGGAAGGGUGCCCGGCCUAUACACCAGGCACUUGGUUGGUUGUGGUGGAUGCUGUCACUUAGCUCAGUCUACAUUCCCCCUCCUUCUAGGUGUCCUCUUAUCCUGCAGAGAGCUGCAGGUUGUGGUCCUGGAUGCAAAAUUGCUGUCACCUUUCAGAGGUGCUUGUGAGCGGUUUGGAGGGUGAAAGCAUGGAGACCGUUUUCAGCUGUUCCUUUUUUACUUUUGCUGUUUUGUGGCGACAGGUUCUGAACAUACGACAUCGCCGCUGCCUCCGUGUGAGAGACAAUCUCAGAAUCAGCAAUUAAACGUUCCAGGCGCCCAGGCCUGGAGCAGAGCAACCGGCCGAAACCUGGGGCUUCUGAGCAGGCACAUCACAGAGCAUAAAAGGAAACAUUCUGCUUGUGCAGAGAAGAGGCAUUUUUGUCAGCACCUGGAUGGAACGUUGUCAGCACCCGGAGAGACCAGAGGAAACUGGGAAAACAGGUGACAGAGCCUCCUGCGGUGCGGGAGCUGGAAACAGCUACGACUGACCAGGCCGCAUCCUGUAAACAGUGCUAUUUAUAAAUACUGUUGACCUUGGACACAUGUACGGCUCGGAGCAAAGUGCUUUCCUCCAGUGUCUUACUAAGACUGUCCAGCCCUCCAGUUCCCAGGCUCAAAGCACCCAUGCUUUGAGUUCCUCAGCCUUCAGAGAGGAGGUGGUAGCUGGAUGUACCGUCCCCAGACACUGUUGUGGGGAAAAGCUUCCAGGUGCCGCAGAGAUUGGGGAAUAGAGGAAGCGUUCCCACUGUUGAGGAUUUUGAUGUAAUGAUGAGAAUGGUAACGGUACUGGUAGGCACCAUUUACUGGGUUCUUUAUGUUAGGCGUUUAAUGAUCUCAUUUCCUCCUCUUGACCACUGUGCCAGGUAGGUAUCGUUAUCACCAUUUUAUUAAGAAAAAGCUGAGGUUCAGAGAGGCAAAGUAACUCUGCUUUCAGCUGCAAGUGGCUGAGCUAGGUUUUCUUAUGAUCUCACUCGACCGUAGGUAAGGAGGGAGGAGGUCCCAGGUUGGUUCAGCAGCUCAGCAGUGUCAUCCGGGAGCCAGUCUCUCUCCACAUUUCUGCGUUGGCAUCAACUUCUGGGUGAUGUUUCCUUUCCUCGGUGCAGCAACACCAAGCUUCUCAUCCUCACACAACCAAAUUCAAAAGCAGGAAGAAGGGAAAGGUGGCAGUCUUCUCAUGUGUUUGUGUGCAUGUGUGUGUGUGUAUUUAUUUUAUCAGGAAGGAAAUAUUCCCCCAGAGCCUCCCAGUCAAUUUUAUCUGAUAUCUCAUUGUCCAAGAGAAUGAAAUGACUUGAUUUGACCAGGCAGGGUUCACCUCUGAGCGUACUGUCUCUGUCUCUUGAUAGCUGAAUACAAUUGCACUAUUCUUAGUGAGAAGAAAGUGGGAAUAGUGUUGGGUGGGCAACAGUGUCGACUGCAUUUCCCCAGCAUUCCAUGGUAGAGGGUUGUCUUCUUACAUACAUGCUUUCUUCCAAGAUCUCUUUAACAUGAGCUAACAGUGUGUGUGUGUGUGCACACGCGUGUGUGUGCCAGCAGGCACGUCCCAGGUGCUCACACUUGGUUGCUUGUGUAGCCUGGUCGAGUCCAAAGAUAAGAAAUCAGUGGAAAUGCUGCAGUAAUUCUUGCUUGCUAUCUUGCAAAUGAGAGACAGGGCAGGAUAGCGAGGCUGGGUUAGUGAGGCACCAUCAUGUAUUAAGGAAGAAGGCAGGUUGAAGAACGAGGAGAUCUGGAUUCUAGCCCCAGAUCUGCUACUUUCUAUCUGUGUUACCUUGGGUAGGUUAUUUAAUCUUUCUGAACCUCAGUUUUCUCAUCUGUAAAGCAAGAAGGUUGGACUAGGUCAUCUCUAAAUUUUGUUCAGCUCUAAUAUUCUAUAGUUACAGUGCAGUUUUUACUAGGCAGCUAUGAGCAGUGCUCUGUACAGUCUAUCACAUUAUUUUUUUUACAUUAUCUUUUUAAAAACCUUUCAAAAUGCAUCUGCAUGCCAUAUGAAUGGAAGAAGUCAACAUUAUUCAUGUACAUGGAGACUAGGACAUCAUGUAACAGAAUUACAUAUAGAAUAUAGUAUUCCAGACUCUUUUUAAAUGUCUUUAUUUUGCAUUACAAAUUGUACUUUGAGGUAUUAUCACUUUAACUGGCUUCUGUUUUACAUUUACAGCACAGCUCAUCUUCCAGAAUUUUUCACUGUUUCGAGUUUCCAUUUUAUUGGAAACACCAUCUCUUUAUAACUGAGUAAAGAACAUGGCAGAGUCAGGGGAAAGCUUUGCGCCUGUCUCUUUUUACUCUCUCUCUCUCUCUCACUCUGAACAUAAAUAGUAUCUUGACAGCUGAUCUUUGUCGUUUCAAAAAAACACAUGAAAAGGAAACAGCAGUGGGUGAUCUGCUUUCUGAAACAGUGUAAGAAAGAUCUGAAGAGUAUUAGCUCUGCACAGAAGCUCCUUCAGCUUCUGCUUUUACAAUAUUUGCAGGAAGUUUCCUGACACUAAGGGGGAAAAGAAACAGUGGCCAGAGACUGUCUCCUGAAAAUAUGCAGGAAGGAUAAUAUGGAGGCCAAGACGGACGUGUGUGAUGAGCUCCAGCCGUGCCUCAAAACAGGAACUGAUGACAGGGAGGUUUUGCUAUUUAUCUUCCAGGGUUGUUUUAAUAUGCAAAGUAGGUCCUCAGCGGCAGCUGCUAUUCCGUCAGCCACAUUUCCUGAACUGGAUAGUGUAUUUUUAGUUGACAGGAAAAAAAAACCACUUGGUUAGGAAGGAGCUCGGAUGGUCACGUCUCAGAAACUCAGAUCAGCACUUGAGACUUUACUACAUUUCCCAGAUGAGUUACUGUCACUCUGGGCAGCAAGCAACAGAGUGUUUACUUCAACUCUCUUCCUUUUAUUAAAAAUCAUUAUAUAAGGUAUGAUGAAUAUAUUUUUCUGUAUGAGCGUCAAACAACAUAAAAGUCUACAGGGUGAAAUUCCUAAGCUCACCGUCCAAAUCACUACUCCCCUCCUUAGAGAUAACCCACAGUUUGAUGUACAUUUUUACAGCGAUAUUUCUAUAAUAUACUCACAUAUUUUGGAGCAGAUAUUUUAUUAUUUUUUUUGUUUGAUUAGGUCUUUUUUUAAUGUAAUUGUGAUAUCUGUAACAUUUCAUUUAACAAUGUUGCAGUGAUUUCUCCAUGUUAGUACAUAUAAGUCUACCUUGGUUAUCUUUUGUUACUAUUUUUAAAAAUAAUUUAUUAAAUAUUGAGAAGGCCAUAAGAAGUAUAAUACUAAAACAGGUGAAAUUAUGUGACCCUAGAGAUUUUCAGAAUCUGCAGGAGACCUUUCUAGAACAGGGAGUGCUGCAGCUUCCCCAGGCCAAUCUUAUGCGGCUGCACAGGUAUCGAUACGAUGGGAGAUCAAUGGCUGCUCUGGAGGGAAGGCAGAGCAUUCCCCAAAGAAUGGGUGUUUACACAACAUAGGAUUGUUCAGAUACUUUUGGCCCCUAGCAAACAUUGCCUAAGUGGUGUUCUUGAGGUUGGUACAUACCUAUGCUUGGGAAAGAUGUGGAGGCUGGAGGAGGUGAGGAGAUGGGGCGAAAUCUGGAGUGUAGAGAAGCUUGGAUUUCCGUUGACACACUUUUUUUUUCCCCUAGAGAGAUACUGACACACAGUCACUGGAUUAAAUUGAUGCUCCCAUCUCAAUUAACUCAUUAGGGGUGUUUUAUCCAUACCUGAAGACUCCUUGGAGAUCCCUAUUGUAAGAUUGGGAACUCUGCCUUCUAAUAUGGCUCAUUGAUUCACUUCUGAGUGGACUGAGACAAAUCCUACUAAUUGUUGAAUUUGUUUCCUUGUUUGUGAAGCACUGAAUUUCCCCGGAAGCUACUUGUUAAAGAUGUCAGGACAAUGAUCUUCAGGAAAUGGAAGGAAACUUGGUCCCGAAGCACGGUGUGGAGGAGAGCUUUAUGCCUGUUAGAAACACUCGUUUUGGACUUUACGUUCUUGACAGAUGCUUUUCACCAGCAUGGUCCUGUAUUAGCGUGAACGCCAGGAGGAAGAGUCCUCGUCCUCGCGCGCCUUGGAGAUAGAGCCCAGUUUCUUCUUAAAGUACUACUUGUAAAUUGACAGCCUUUUGCCCUGUAGAAAAAGGUUAGAGAGCUCUAAAAUAAUCUUCUUUGGAACAACUAAUUUUGCUGUUUUCAGAUAACAAUUAUAGAGAGCUUCUGGAGCUGGAAAAAAAAAAAGUAAUAAAAAAAAAGAAAUCACCCAGCACUAGUGCACAGGUCAAUUUUAGGUGAAGAGCCUAGGAUUUGUCUAAUGGAAAGUUACUCAGUCCAAUAAAUGAUACUAAUAAA